AGUGAACGCUGGCGGCAUGCCUAACACAUGCAAGUCGAACGGUAACAGGCCCGCAAGGGUGCUGACGAGUGGCGGACGGGUGAGGAAUACAUCGGAAUUUGCCCAUGUCGUGGGGGAUAACGUAGGGAAACUUACGCUAAUACCGCAUACGACCUAACGGUGAAAGCGGGGGACUCGCAAGAGCCUCGCGCGGCUGGAUAAGCCGAUGUCGGAUUAGCUUGUUGGUGAGGAACGGCUCACCAAGGCGACGAUCAGUAGCUGGUCUGAGAGGAUGAUCAGCCACAUUGGGACUGAGACACGGCCCAAACUCCUACGGGAGGCAGCAGUGGGGAAUAUUGGACAAUGGGCGCAAGCCUGAUCCAGCCAUGCCGCGUGAGUGAUGAAGGCCCUAGGGUU
rnacentral:rRNA from 1 species